rnacentral:rRNA from 1 species
CUUGGUCAUUUAGAGGAAGUAAAAGUCGUAACAAGGUAUUCGUAGGUGAACCUGCGUAUGGAUCAUUAUCGUUCCUCCUUCAAUACAACUUCGCACAGUCAUCCUACAUAUGAUUGUGUCGCACCAUUAUGAAAAUAACAAGCUAUUACUCUAUAACUUGUUUUAAACCUUUCCAUUCAACAAAAUCAUUGUUGUUUUGUCUUUGAAUAUUAUAGACGUACAUAUACAGAAUAAUAUAAUUCUGUACGGUGGAUCACUCGGCUCGUUAUUCGAUGAAGAGCGCAGCAAAGUGCGAGAAAGCAAUGCGAAUUGCAGGACACAUUGAGCAUGAAUAACUCGAACGCAUCUAGCAGCCAAGACUUUAGUCGAGGCUAAAUUUGCUUCAGUCUUGUUUAUAUAACAUCAAAUUCAUUUUACCAAAUGAAUUGCUGGCAAGUUCAAUUAUAUUUAGCUUGCAAUACAUAUCUAACAUACUUCAUUCUCUAUAUAGAAUGUUGUAUACGUAUAAAACGAAGUUAUACACAAUACACAAUAUUUGUGUAAAUUGUCAUAACAUGAGAAAUCUUUAUCAUAUCCAUGUUAUUGACUCAUACAAAUAUAUAGAUGUGUGUAUAAAUGAAAUAUACCUUCUCUCCUUUCAAGCUGAAGUCAAAUUAGAAUACUUGCUGAACUUAAGCAUAUUAAUAAGCAAAGGAAAAGAAAUCAACUGAGAUUGCCUUAGUAAUGGCGAAUGAACCGGCAAAAGCUCAUUGCUGAAGCGUGUUAAAUUCACUUUUGACAUGCAUUGUAGCAUUUGGGGUGACUUAUGUAUGGUGCCUGUUCGUGUGAGUUCCUUUGAUCAGGGCUUUAACCAUAGAAGGUGCUAGUCCUAUAAUCACGAAUAGUUUUGUGCUGUACAUUGUACACCUUUCGAGUAGCGUAGUUUGAGAUUGCUACGCCAACGUGGGACGUAAACUUGUUCCAAAGC